GACCUCGGAUCAGGUAGGAAGACCCGCUGAACUUAAGCAUAUCAAAAGGAAA
rnacentral:rRNA from 1 species